rnacentral:rRNA from 1 species
UACGUAGGCAGCAAGCGUUGUUCGGAGUUACUGGGCGUAAAGGGUGUGUAGGCGGUUGUUUAAGUUUGGUGUGAAAUCUCCCGGCUCAACUGGGAGGGUGCGCCGAAUACUGAAUGACUAGAGUGCGGGAGAGGAAAGUGGAACUCCUGGUGUAGCGGUGAAAUGCGUAGAUAUCAGGAGGAACACCGGUGGUGUAGACGGCUUUCUGGACCGUAACUGACGCUGAGACACGAAAUCGUGGGUAGCAAACAGG